GACGAACGCUGGCGGCGUGCUUAACACAUGCAAGUCGAACGGACAGGCCCUGAUCUUGUGGGGUGCCCGAGUGGCGAACAGGUGCGUAUCACGUGAGUAACCUGCCCUUGACUUUGGGAUAACUUCAGGAAACUGGGGCUAAUACCGGAUAGGAGCUCCUGCAGCAUGGUGGGGGUUGGAAAGUUUCGGCGGUUGGGGCUGGACUUGAGGAUUAUCAGCUUGUUGGUGGGGUAGUGGCUUACCAAGGGUUAGACGGGUAGCCGGCAUGAGAGGGUGAACGGCCACAUUCAGGCUUCGAUAGGGCCCAGACGCCUACCGGAGGCAGCAGUGGCGAAUAUUGCAGAGUGAGCGGAAGACGGAUACAACAACCCCGCGAGCGGGAAGCCGGCCUGCGUGGGGUAAACCAAUUUCUCCUGUUACGAAGCUGGAGUGACGGUAAUUGAUAAAGAAGCACCGGCUAACUACGUG
rnacentral:rRNA from 1 species